GGCAACAUGUCCGAGUGGUUAAGGAGUCAGACUUGAAUUAUUCAUAUCUUCAUCUGAUGGCUUCGGCCGCGUAGGUUCGAACCCUGCUGUUGUCG
rnacentral:tRNA from 2 species